CAUCUUUUCCUUGUAUAAUUUAGAAGAAUCAUAAGCUUGGAGCCUUAAUUCCUCCAUCUGAUGCAACUGGUUCUUCCUAUGCUCACCUGCAAGAUUCAAAUCAAAAUUAAGAAACUUAAGAGCCCAAUAAGCUUUAUGCUCCAAUUCUACUGGUAAAUGGCAAGAUUUGCCAUAGACCAACUGAAAGGGGGUUAGGCCUAUUGGUGACUUAUAAGCAGUCUUGUAUGCCCAUAAAGCAUCAUCCAGCUUCUAAG
rnacentral:lncRNA from 1 species